GCCCUGCGCCGGCUGGCACGUGCCAACGCUUCCAGUCUGCGUGAGCUGACGCUGCCGGCCGGCAUCAGCGACUGGCAGCUGGAGGCGCUGUUGGAGCCGCUGAAGGCUCUGGAGCGGCUCGAUGUGAGCCCACCUGUGGACAGCUCCGGCAAGUGGCUGCGGCUGCUGCCCAAGUCGAUGAAGAGACUGGACAUUACUGGAUCGGGUAUGACCGAGGCACCAUUAAAGGUGCCGCGAUGGCCGACGUCUGAACUGGAUGUCAGUAUCCAGCAAGGCACUGACACACUUCUGGACCAGCUGACUGUUCUAGCGACCCGCACAGUCACGGGGCUGGCCAUAUGGGCGUCACCGUCCGUGACACCGGAAGCGACGGGACGCCUCCUGACUGUCCUCAC